UAUACAUGUGUUGACCCUCCACUACACCACUGGCUCAGACAGUAGAGUGGAGGGCAGCUACUGACAGGGUGUAUAUAUACAUGUGUUGACCCUCCACUACACCACUGGCUCAGACAGUAGAGUGGAGGGCAGCUACUGACAGGGUGUAUAUAUACAUGUGUUGACCCUCCACUACACCACUGGCUCAGACAGUAGAGUGGAGGGCAGCUACUGACAGGGUGUAUAUAUAUAUAUAUAUACAGUAUAUAUGUAUUUAUAUAUUAGAGGAUAUAUGUAAUGUACAGUUCUAAUACAUUGUCUCUGUAUGAGCUGUAGGACAGGAUAGGACAGCUAGGGAGAGACGAGAUGCUUGGUGUGGCUUGCUGUGAGGCUUGGUUUGGUGGGCUGGGCGGCUUGGUUUGGUGGGCUGGGCGGCUUGUGCGCUGGGCUGGGUGGCUUGGUUUGUAGGGUCUGGGCUUAGUGGCUGGGUGUCUUGGUUGGUGUUUGGGGGGUCUCGGCCCUCAGUCUUUCCAGGGUUCCGAGUGGUGGUGGGUCAGAUGAGGUCAGAGGGUCCUGAAGAACACAGGCCAUGAAGAUAAACAGAGAGGGGAGAGAGAAACAGAGAGGAGAGAGACAGAGAUAAACAGAGAGGAGAGAGAAACAGAAGAGACAGAGAGAAACAGAGAGGAGAGAGACAGAGAUAAACAGAGAGGGGAGAGAGAAACAGAGAGGAGAGAGACAGAGAUAAACAGAGAGGAGAGAGACAGAGAUAAACAGAGUGGGGAGAGAGAAACAGAGAGGAGAGAGACAGAGAUAAACAGAGAGGAGAGAGACAGAGAUAAACAGAGAGGAGAGAGAAACAGAGAGGAGAGAGACAGAGAUAAACAGAAGAGAGAAACAGAGAGGAGAGAGACAGAGAUAAACAGAGUGGGGAGAGAGAAACAGAGAGGGG
ensembl:lncRNA